AUGUGGAUCAGGCAUACGGCAAGCUGCACGGGAGAUCCUGGGAAAGGGCAGUGUAUCCAAAUGAGAGGUAAAUAUGAACAUAAGGUAAUGUAAGAACAAGAGCAACCCUUCCCCUACACUUUGAAAGAAAAAUAAUUGUAUGGGUGAUUCAAUAGCUACAAAGCUGAAGAUCUGGUGAUAGGCAGAACUCCUGAUCUGAAGGAUGUGAUAAUGCUUUUUCUAGAAGCCUGAUUAAGGAGGCACAAGAACACCCACUUCACCCACAGCCUGCAUCAUUUCCUUCCCAUGCCUUGAGCUUCCACAUCACCUACAGCCACCCAAGUUCAAGCUG